rnacentral:lncRNA from 1 species
AUGAAUCAACCUGUGGUUGAGGACAGUGCCAUAAGGCAUGUCAAUCUAGUUGUAGGUAUUUAACCUACUCUCACUCACUCCAGACAUGGUGUUUACCUUGGUGAAGCUUCCUAAUUCCCUGUCUAUCUUUGUCUUCCCGAUAGAGAGGGAAUAUGAGAACGGCGUGGAGUCUCUGGGGCUUUGUUAUUGUAACGUUGGCUUUUUCUUUUUUGGAAUAUUAGUGUUGCUAUACUGGAUUCGUGUACAAUUCGCUCUUUGAUUCUCUUGUCAAAAUAAUUUAAAAUAAAAAAAUUACGCCAUCUUCUUUCUCCGGAGGACUCAACUCUAGGAGAUGAUGGAUGAGGCUCCUCUUAGUCUUUUGUACGGGCAAGGUGGGAACAGUAACAUGAGCAAAGAGCAUGAGAGGAAGUGUCGAGAUUUGAAUAUUUAAUGUGGAUAGGAUGGUCUAAGUUAUAAAUUGAUUGCAUAAUUAUUUACUCCAAAAUUUAAAUUAUCAAAGUGCGGUACUGCAUAUAAUUUAUCUCUUGAUGCUCUUGCCACAGGUAUACCAAUUCAAUGAUGAAGGCUUUAGACAUGUAAAUUCGAUGGAAGACACCAUCACGAGGGAAGGCAUCAUCACGGUAGACAUAGUCAUCAUGGGAUUGGUAAGGGGGGCGGACACGGGCAUCAUGGGGGGCACGGUCCCCACGGAGGAGGACUCCUCUUUGGGCAUGGUCUCGGAGGACAUGGGUGUCAUGGACAUGAACAGGGGCUUCACCUGAGCGGUGUUUUAGGGCAUGGGGGUCGUGGACAUGGACAUGGGCAUCACGUGAGGGUUCUUUUAGUCCACGGACAUGGACUUUUCAAACACGGUCAUCAUGGUCAUUGCAAAGGUCACGGUCAUGGUCACAAAGGCCGCUGCGGGGGGGGCAUCAUAUCUGUAUUGAGCAACCGGAACAGGAACAAGAACAGCAACAGGAACAGGAAGUCGCAGCUGCGACGCCGACUCCGAUAACCGAGCAGCUCGGUACUCUCGCUCUGACUGCUGAUUAGGGAGGAGGCCACUUGGAGCUGGGUCUUAAACAUCAGCGACGCCCGGGUUAGCGAUAAAUAUGUUUUGGAGAUUCCGUGUCUUGGCUCCUACCAAUAAUCAGUACCAGUUUUAUCUUUUUGGGUUGUUUCGUGGAUGAUCAGAUUCAACGGUUUGAAGUGUCGUGGAGGUUGCUGGCUGUUGUGGAGGUCAAUGGAAGUUUCUCUAUACAGCUUGUGUACCAAUAUUAUGCGAUGGUACGCUAAAAAUUAGCGUGAUGGUAUCGGUCAUUUGAGGUUUCGGAUCAAAUGGUUCCAUAUAUUUUAUGCAGAAGAUAUGAAGGUUCUGAAUUAUGUUCUGAAUUAGAAAUGAUGUGUUGCUGAGCUCUUCGAGAGCAUCAUUGGCAUGCAUGAGCAAAUUGACCAGAAUUAAUUGAUAGGUAAGGUUUCUGACAGCAAACAGCGCGGACAAUGGCAUAUGCUUUCCAUCUUGUCAUUCAAGUAACUCUGGCAAAAUGUUGGAUUAUAAUGUCUCAGUGCUGCUGGUUUUUCGACUGAUGUUCCUUUGUUCUGUUUUUCUUCUUAUGGUUUAUUUUCUUGCUAAGUUGGUUAUAUUAUGCAGCUGGUAUUUUUGUUAUUUAGGAAGUGAAUUAGUACGUUUAGGUGCAGUUAUAUGCUGCACGUGUGUGUGUGGUUUGUAAGCAGUUAUUAUUCUUAUUUAAGUUGUCAUGUACUUGACAAUUUUCUUAGAUAGAACUGAUGUAUGCAAGUUCGUGUUCUGUUUUCUCUGUGCUUCUCUUCCUCAUUCAAAAUCUAUAGCUUCUGGUUUUCUAUCUCUUGUUUACUGUUUGAUCAGUAACAACAGUGGUAUAAGAGCUUGAGUGAUCUUGAGGGACUGUGAAGUGAAGCAAGUAUCGAAGUGUAAAGAAGUUAAAGGGUGAUGGAGAUAGGGUCGAGUGGUUUCUCUGCGAUGGCUUCUCCGAUAUUUACUGGAGAGAGUUAUCAAGCAUGGGUUGUUAAGAUGACAGCAUUUUUGGAGGGUCAUGAUCUGUGGGAAGCUGUGGAGGAUGAUUAUGAAGUUACUCCACUUCCAAAUAAUCCGACCAUGAAUCAAAUCAAACUUCAUAAAGAGAGAACCACAAGAAAAGCCAAGGCAAAAUCUUGCCUGUAUGCUACUGUCUCGCCUCCCAUCUUUACUAGAAUUAUAAAGUGUGACUCUGCAAAGGCCAUAUGGGACUUCUUGAAGGAAGAAUGUGAAGGAGAUGAGAAGAUAAGAGGUAUGAAGGUGCUGAAUCUCUUGAGAGAAUUUGAGAGACAGCAGAUGAAAAAGUCUGAGUCGGUGAAGGAAUACUCUGAUAGGCUAGUGGGGAUAGCUGAUAAAAUCAAAGUUUUGGGGACUGACUUGAAGGAUGAUAGGCUUGUUCAGAAGAUCCUGGUGUCUCUUCCAGAGAAAUUUGAAGCUACUAUAGCUUCUCUGGAAAACACAAGGGAUUUGGCUUAUAUAAAACUUGCAGAGUUGUUGAAUGCUUUACAGGCACAAGAACACAGAAGACUAAUGAGGAGAGAAGAACGUGUAGAGGGGGCAUUGCAAGCCAAAGUAAAGCAAAAUGAUGGAGGCAAAGGGAAGAAAUGGGUUCAAUUUAGAGGAAAUGUUGCUAAUUCGAGGUUUUUACCAAAAGAAGGGAACACUGGUGGAUCUAGCAAAUGGAAAAAUAAUAAAAGGCCAUGUCAGUACUGUGGUGGAACCAAUCAUCAGUCUUUUAGAUGCUGGAGAAAGCCAGAUGCUAGGUGCAGAAAAUGCCACAAGUUGGGUCACAUGGAAGCUAUUUGUAAAGGAAAAACUUAUCAGCAAGCAGGAGAAGCACAAGUGGCAGUAAAUGAAGUUGAUGUAGAGCACCUGUUUGUAGCUUUAGCUGGUAAAUCUUCAGUUGAAAACAAUACAUGGCUGGUAGAUAGUGGUUGUACCAAUCACAUGACUGGUAAUUUAAAGCUAUUUAGGAGCAUAAACAAGACAGUAAGGUCCAGAGUUAGAAUUGGCAAUAGACAGCAUAUUAAAGUGCAAGGUAAAGGUGUAGUUGCUAUUGAAGGAAACCAGGAGGUAAAGCUAAUCAGGGAUGUUCUCUUUGUGCCAAAUAUUGACCAAAAUCUGUUAAGUGUUGGUCAGUUAGUGGAGAAGGGCUAUAAAGUGAAGUUCGAAGGAAGGGAAUGUCUCAUUAAAAAUGCUGACAGCAAAGAAGUCUUGAGAAUUCCAAUGAGGGAUAAAAUUUUUAUGUUCAAACCACAUGAGAUGCAACAGAUGGCUUUGAAAUGCAAAGAAGAGAAUACAGAGCUAUAGCAUAAAAGACUUGGGUAUGUUCACAGGAGGAGUAUGCUGUUUAGGCAGAAAAAUGGCUUGGUAGAUGACUUGCCAAGCUUGGAGGAAGAACUUCCACAAUGCAGAACCUGUCUUCUUGGCAAACAAGCUAGAUUUCCCUUCAAAGGAGGAGUCUCGAGGAUAUGUCAAAAGCUGGAACUAGUUCACACUGAUGUAUGUGGACCUAUGUCUGAGCCCUCUCUCAAUGGAAGUAUGUAUUUUAUUACCUUUACUGAUGAUUUGACUAAGAUGAGCUGGAUCUAUUUUCUGCGAGCUAAGACUGAAGUAGCUGAUACAUUUAUGAAGUUUAAAGCUUUAGUUGAGAAUCAAAGUGGGAAGAAAAUUAAAGCUCUCAGGUCUGACAAUGGAUCUGAGUAUACAGCUAACAAAUUUAAGCUGAUUUGUGAGCAAGUAGGAAUUGUGCAGCAAUUUACAGCUCCUUACUCACCUCAACAGAAUGGGGUCAGUGAGAGAAAGAACGGAAGUAUUAUGGAGAUGGCCAGAUGUAUGAUGCAAGAGAAGAAUUUUCCUAAGAGGUUCUGGGUCGAGGCAGUCAAUACUGUUGUAUUUCUAUUAAAUAGAUUGCCUACAAAAGUCUUAGAGAAAUUAACACCUCUCGAAGGCUAGCAAGAUAUUAAACCUUCUGUGAAAAACUAAAAGGUUUUUGGAUGUUUGUGUUACACUCAUGUUCCUGAUGUUAAGAGGGACAAACUUGAUAAAAAGGCAGAGAUUGGGAUCUUUGUUGGAUAUAGUCUUCAAUCAAGAGCUUACAGAAUUUUCUAUCCCAUGACAGGGAAAAUAAUUGUGAGCAGAGAUGUCAUGUUUUUAGAGGAAGAUGAAUGGAAUUGGAUAGAUGGAAGGAUCACAGAAUUGAAGCACUUCGAAAGACGGCCUGAAACAGAUGUGGAGAUUAAUGGAAUUACAGAGGAAAUGGAAGAGAGUAUAGAUGAUCAACCUGUAAGAGGCGCAAGGUCACUUGUUGAGAUCUAUGAAAGAAGUAAUGUGGCAAUGCUCGAACCAUCCAACUUUGCAGAAGCCAAGGAAGAUCAGAAGUGGAUUGCAGCAAUGCAGGAGGAGAUAGCAAUGAUUCAGAAAAAUCAGACUUGGGAAUUAGUAGACAGGCCACUAGACAAGAAUGUGAUUGGAGUUAAGUGGGUGUUUAGGACAAAGCUCAAUCCUGACGGUUCUGUCAAUAAGUAUAAAGCAAGAUUGGUUGUGAAAGGCUAUGCUCAAAUAUGGGGAGUAGACUAUUCUAAAACUUUUGCUCCAGUUGCAAGGCUGGACACAAUAAAGCUUCUGUUAGCUGUUGCAGCAGAGAAGGGAUGGACUAUCUUUCAGUUAGAUGUCAAGUCUGCAUUCCUAAAUGGAGAGCUUGAAGAGGAAAUUUUUGUUGAACAACCUGAAGGUUUCAGUAUUAAAGGGCAAGAGGAAAGUGUAUACAGAUUGCACAAAGCUCUAUAUGGACUGAAACAAGCUCCAAGAGCAUGGUAUGGAAAGAUAGAUCGAUAUUUACAGGAUUUUGGUUUUGCAAAAAGCUUAAGUGAGUUCACUCUUUAUAUCAAGAAAGUAAAUCAAAGUGUGGUAGUUCUGUCACUCUAUGUGGAUGAUUUAUUGGUAACAGGAAAUGAUGUAGAACUGAUAGAAAAUGUUAAGUAAGGUUUGUUUGCAGGUUUUGAGAUGACAGACUUAGGAAAAAUGGCUUAUUUCUUAGGUCUAGAAGUUAAGCAAAGUCCAUAUGAAAUCUUCAUUUGCCAGAGGAAAUAUUUGAAGGAAAUUCUAAAAAAGUUUCAGAUGGAAGACUGUCGAAGUGUCAGUACACCGAUGGCAGCUAAAGAGAAGUUGCAGAAGGUUGAUGGAACAGAUGCUGUGGAUGCCUCGAUGUAUAGAAGUCUGAUAGGGUGUCUCAUGUACCUUACAGCAACCAGACCAGACAUUCUAUUUACUGUAAGUGUUCUAUCCAGAUUUAUGAGUGAUCCAAGUAAGCUUCAUUUGAUUGCAGCAAAGAGGAUCUUGAGGUAUCUAAAAGGAAACUUGUUCUUUGGUGUGAAGUUUCAAAGGGGUCAAGAAUUCAAUUUACAAGGUUUUUUCUGAUCGUGAUUGGGCUGGCUCAAUGGAUGAUAUGAAGAGUACAUCUGGAUAUUGUUUCAGUUUUGGAUCAGCUUGUUUCUCUUGGUGUUCUAAAAAACAAGAAAUUGUAGCUCAAUUUAUUGCAGAAGCAGAAUUUAUAGCUGCUACUGCAGCUGCAAAUCAAGCUUUGUGGCUGAAGAAGAUAAUGAAAGAUUUAUGGUUGAAUUCUAGUGGCUAUAUUGAAGUCAAUGUGGAUAAUCAAGCUGCUCUAGCAAUAUUUCAGAAUCCAUUUUUUCAUGGCAAAACUAAGCAUUUCAAGGUUAAGUUCUUUCUACGUGAGGUGCAACAAAAUGGAGAAGUUAAGCUGGUUUAUUGCAGAUCUGAAGAUCAACUUGCAGACAUGUUCACAAAACCACUUCAAGCUGGAAGAUUUGAAGUAUUAAGAAAGAAAAUUGGAGUAUGCAGCAGCAACUGAUCCAAGGAGGAGUUUGUUGGAUUAUAAAAUCUCAGUGCUGCUGGUUUUUCCACUGAUGUUCCUUUGUUCUGUUUUUCUUCUUAUGGUUUAUUUUUCUUGCUAAGUUGGUUAUAUUAUGUAGUUGGUAUUUUUGUUAUUUAGGAAGUGAAUUAGCACGUUUAGGUGCAGUUAUAUGCUGCACGUGUGUGUGUGGUUCGUAAGCAGUUAUUGUUCUUGAUUAAGUUGUCUUGUACUUGACAGUUUUCUUAGAUAGAAUUGAUGUAUGCAAGUUCAUGUUAUGUUUUCUUUGUGUUUCUCUUCCUCAUUCGAAAUCUAUAGUUUCUGGUUUUCUGUCUCUUCUUUACUAUUUGAUCAGUAACAACACAAAAGAUUUGGGAACCCGGCAACCCAAAUUGGCGAUCAAGAUAUCGAACUUCUUCCACUACUUAAAGCCCAUAAACUUAUUAUUAUGAAAUCUUUUGCUAAUGUACCAAUUUGAUCAGUCCGUAAGAAAAAGGAACAAGAUUAACAGAUGAAGUAUUAGCUAAAUUGUUCGUAGUAAUUACAUAGUAAAGUGUGGCUUAACCUUGAAUCCUCUCCUGAUCGGGCUGGAGGCGAAGACCCGCAAAGUUCAUCUUUUACUAGUUUUCACAGAAAAGGAGGCCAAACCAAUGAAUAGCAGAUUUUAAUUUGAUCAGAUCAGGUAGCCCUUUAAGCAACUAGUCAAACCUGGGCAGACCUACUAACGAAGAGUAGAAUUACGAACUUACUCAUCAAGAGGUAAGGAGGGGUUAUUCAUUUAACAUUUUUUUGGAAAUGUGAGCAUAGAAAAGCUAAAGCAGCUUCUCGACAUGCUGAGCUGAAUAGGGUUAAUAAAAAAAAUUUCUUCCAAAGUUAUCCUCACUAAUUAUUCAUUUUUUUUUUUCGUUUUAACGUUGAUGACUAUUUAUCUUCUUUUUCUCUGUUGAAUAGGAUUGGCAUGGCUAUGAGCGGUUGCUUCUUAAGGGUAGGUAGUCGAGCGACCCUCUGGCGAGAGUCGUGGGGACCCAAAUCAUGCGACGCUUUGGCGAGGGUCGUGCAAUUUGGGUCACUACGAUCCUUGCCGAAGGGUCACGCAACCCGCCGCGCCAUGACCUCUGCAUUUAGGUUGUCGGGGUUGUGCAAUCUAGGUUGCAUGACCCUCAUCGAACCGCCUACCCUUGCCAGAUCGUUUGCAUCAGACUACUUGUCCGUCGCUGAACCUCUUGCUCCUCACUAGCAAUUGCCUGUCCUUAGUCGGUCAACUCCUUUUUUAUAAAUAACAAAAGUCUUUUGCAAAUAUAAUUUCUCCCAACACUAUUUUUUUCUCAAAAUUACUUCGUCAUGGACUAUUACAAUAUAAUUUACCAAACAUAGUUUAUAUUUCGGAAAACUCUUUUAACUCAACGCCCUUUGCAUUUUUGCAAAACUUUUUCGAGAAGUCUUCCAAAACGUAUCUUAUAACAAAGCCAAACCAUUAAAAUUCACUAGAAAUAAUUUGAUUUUCACAACCGAAGUACACACACAAAUGUCACAAUCCUAUGAAAUAGAAUUACCAGUACUAUCUCGUACUAGUAAUUCUAGUUUUACUAUUCAAUGGAGAUGAGGUUUGUAAACUUUAUCCAAAUGACAUUGUAAGUUGUUAAUGCCUUUGACAGUGAGAGUCAGCUGAAGAGGUAUGAAUAGUUAUUUCAGAAACAAAAAUUAAGACAAUCCCUUGUUUUCAAUUAAAAAAAUUAAUUUUUUAAAAGAAUGUGUUUAUCUUUCAUUUCUUCUUAUAGGAGGAAAAUAUGGCACCAAUCCUCUUCCUAUUAAGAAUUGUGACACUAAGUGAAAAAGAAGAGAAAUUAUGGUAAUUUUGUAUAUUGUGUUGAUUCAACUUGUUUUACUUUACGUGUAUAAGUCUCUAUUUAUAAUACCAUGUACGGCUAAUAAAGGAAAUAAUAAGGAGGACUAUAUAGAAUCGAAGCUAAUUCUAGAUUGAUUCACACAAUCAAUUUCAAUCACAAAUUGAUUCUCUCUUAUCUCCAACAAAUUGUCUUUAGCUAAAUUUAAAUUAGAGAUAUGUUUAGUAGAAGUCCUAAAACUUGACAAGAAAGUGCAAUUGAGCCCUAAAACUUAUAAAAAAAAUGCAAUUAAGUCCUAAAACUUGUCAAAUUGGUUCAAUUGAGUCCUAAAGUUAACACCGUCGUAUUUACUAAUGGAAAAUGCUGAUGUGGCGUUAACGUCAUAUUUUAAAUGAAUUUUAUAUUUUACACAUGACUUUUUUAAAUUCUUUUUUAUUCAAAAUCUUUAAAAAAUAGAUUAAAAACUAAAAAGGAAAAGCUAAAUUUAUUUUAAAAACAGAACUGUUCAAAAAAAAAAAAAAGGCAUCGGUGGAGCUUCCACUGCCGCUCAUUGCUGGAGGGGUCAACGACAGUCGUCGAAGGGGCCGAUGACAGUCGCCAACCUUAGGUGGGGUGGCUGGCCCUCACUCGGGCAAGGCCUCGUUGGCCCCAGGUGAGGGCCGGCCACCCUCGCCAGGUCGGGCGAGGACACCCAGAUCUGGGCACGCCGGCCCUUGCGGGGGGCUGGCAACCAUCGCUCGCCUUGGGCGAGGCUUCGCCGGCCCUUGCUUGGGGUCAAUGAUGCUCGCCCAAAUCUAGGUGAGCAAGCAUCGUCUGACAAGGACUUGUCAGACGGGUCUCAGGGGGAGGAGUAGCCGCAACUUGACGAGCUGGUCAAUGAGGAGGACGAGGAGGAGCUUGGGGCCAUCGCCCGCUCCGCUAGCUUUGCCGACAAGGAUGACGCCGCCCCCGCCGUCGACGAUGACAUCGACAAGAAUGGCGAGGCUGAGGAGGAUGAGGAGGACCAUGAGGUCCACCCAGAUCUAGGCGAGCAUCGCCAACCCUAGGUGAGGGUCGGCAAGGCCUCACUUAAGGCGAGCGAUGGUCGCCGGCCCCCCGCGAGGGCCGGUGUUGUGGCAUCUCAAAAUUCAUGGCAACCUCCAGAUACAUUAAGGCCUAUGAAUAGGUGAUGAAGUACCAUCAAGUUGUAUUGUAGCCAUUUGAUCCAUGAUUUGUAAUAAGAUUUAUGGCCAAGCUUUUAAUGGAUAAUUAUUUGAUAGGAAAGAAAAUUCUAUUAUUGGCCAUGUGUUUUAUAAGGUGGAAUUUAUUGAUUUAUGAUUUCAAGUUUUAUGGCCAAUAGAAUAAGGUAAAUUAAGUAUUUAUAUGAUGGGUAAUUAGGUGAUGAUUAAAAGGAAAAAUUAGAAGAGUGGGUUAAAUUUUAUUGGCUCAAGAUUAGCCCCACCAUUCGGCCAUUUGGGCCUGGCCCGUGAAGCCCAAAGGGGAGAGGAGUUGCCGUCGACCAAGGCUGGCCUAAGCCCAGCUAGAUAGAGCCCAUCUUGCAUGGCAAUUACCAAGUGUCACCUGCAUGCAAAGAAAUGAUUACAACCUAAUCAUGAGGGGGAAGAAAGAAGAGGGGGGCGGAUUAAGCAAGGAAAGGGAGAGAAAGAGAGGAGGUCGCAUGAGAGAAAGAGAAAGAGAGAGAGAGAGAGUGAUCGUCCGAGAGAAAUAAAGGAAGAGAGAAAGAGAGCGAGCGUGCGAGAGAAGAAGAGGAAGAAGGAGGAGUUCAUUUGCCGCCUAGUCGCCGCCGUUCGUUCGCCACCUUGCCUGCUGUUUGUCGCUGUGUUUGUGCACGGAUUUGAGGCAAGUAGAGUCCAAAAUCCUACCCUUUGCUUGAUGUGAUAUGUGUUGUAAGGGAUGGUUAACUUUGGUUGUGGUAGAAGUGAAGAAAUUCGAAGCUCUAGGGAGAAAUAGGGUAGCCUUGCAUUCUGUUUUCUAGGAAGGCAGUCCAACAUUUGAUGAAAUUGUAAGCUGCAUGUGACUUUUUAGUUGGAGUCUUAUUUUGACUACUUGAUGAAAGUUGUAGAGAACUUCAUGGAGAGUAACAUAUCAAAAUUUCAGAAGAAAUGAACAAGUAUAAACCGGUGAAACUGUUUUUCAUUGAAGAAGUCAGAUCUAGAAAUCAUAAUGCUGACUUAGUGUGAUUUUGUGAAUUUUAUAAAAUUCUCCGGUUGAAAUUCGAUUUCGUGUUCCAAAUGAAAGUUGAAGAUGAAAUAUUAAGGAGUAACAUACUAAAAUUUUAGAGGAAAUGGAUGAGUGUAGGUUGGUGAAAUGAUUUUAUUUGAAAUGGUGAGAUCUGGGAAUUUUUGCCGAGGGUUACUGACGGCUAUGGUGAUUAUAGUUUUUAAUUUAUCACAAAUAUGAUUUCAAGUUCUACGUGAAAUAUUUAUUUCUGGACCUUUUCUAUAACAUAUACAAAUUUCAGAAUUUUUUGAGCUAAUUUAGGAUUUUUACCGAAUUUGUGAAUGAAACUGUGUAUGGCAAUAUUCCGAAAUUUUAAGGACUGUGAUGCGUGGAUUGUAUUGAUUUGUGUGAUGUUCUUUUGAUAUGGUGUUCUUCAUGGAAUACUUUCCUCUACAUCUUUUAUAUAACAUGCCAAAUUUUUAUAAUUUAAUAAGGUUGUUUACUAAUUUUUUAAGAAUUAUGACCAAAGGAGUGCAAUAUGUUUUCAUCAGAAAUUUGCUGUAUUUUCAAAAAUAAAUGAAAUUGUUCCAUGUGAUAUAAUGUUUUGAAUGGUUGAUUAUGUUGCAUAUGUAAUGACAUAUGGCAUGUUAUAUGACAUCAAAUGUUGGUUGAGACCUUUGACAAUUGUUGCAUCAAAUACCAUGUUGAAAUUGAGAAAAUAACAAGACCGUCGGAGGUGUGAGCCGACGAUGCCUCGGGAGUAUUGGAAUGCCAAAGUGUGUGUGCCGGAUGUCCUCAGGAGUUUCGGGAUGCCCAGAGGUGUGUGUCAGGGGGAUACCUCGUGAUGCUAGUUGGGGUACGAGAUGCUCGGAGGUGUGUGUCGGAGGUUCCUCGCGAUGCCAGGUUGGAUGCGAGCGAUAAAUUGAGGGAUGCAAACAUCGGUCCCUGGAAAGAAAAAAAAUGAUGUGAUCUAAUUGAAAGAUAAAGAUCGAAAAUUGAAUCAUGUGCAUGGUAUGAACCUCAUGGGAAUGCAAGCCUAGAGUGCAUGAUGAUAUGUGCACAUUGCAUGAUGAUAUAUGCAUGGUUGCUUGAUGAUAUAGGUACAAGUUGCAUGAUGAUAUAUGCAUAGCUGCAAGGUGAGGUAUGUUUGAUGUACUGUGUAGUUUGGCGGAUCUUUACUGCUGAGGGUUGUACUCAUUCCUUUUGUGAAUUAACAUUUCAGAUUAAAAAUAUGCCUCUUUCACAAGUUGUGCGUGGUACCUUCUAUGGCAUACCUACUAACGUGGAGGUGGAGUGCACCGAGCAUUCCUGUAUUAGUAUACCUGGUUUGGAGUAUGUCCGAGUCCGAGUAUUGGUGAUGUAUGACGUGGGUUCAGCUAAUGGCCCUAUUAUCCAAGAGUUUUUGUCCGUUCACGUUCGACGUAAUGGGGUGAUGCUAGGGAUGCUACCGCCGCCUCCGCCCGAUGCACCGAGUUGGGUGUGAUGGCACGUAUGACUGGUGGGAGCUGACGUUUUCUUUUUGGGGAUAGCCGACGCUUGUCGAUGGAGGGAUGUACAUGUUUCAUAUAGGGUCGAGUUCUCUUUUAGGUUAUAGCCAAGUAUAGUUGAAAAUCUUGGCCUUUUUGCUGUAUCGACCCGAAAUGUUCAUCGUGAAAAUAUAAAUAAAAGUGAAUCGACUUUAUCUUUUUUUCUUGUGCGUAGUUGGUGUGCAUUGCAUUAUAGUUAUUGAAGUGAGAAAUGGUGAGAUACGUUUAUGCUUCCACUGAUGAACUGUGCUGGGACCUUUACAAAAAAAAAUAAUAAUAAAUGGAAAAAGUAUUCUAUUGAUCAACCCCCAUAAACUAUGGUUACACUUAAAUAAAAAAAGUUACCUUACUAGUAUGUAGUAGGAUGAGUGACAAGCACCUGUGGUGACCCUUCACAGAUCAGGGGCCGUUGAGGGGUGCCACAUCAAUUGGUAUUAGAGCAAUGGUUAUAGUUGGAGUGAUAAGGAGCCUCAUUUGGAAAUUGAGGAAUAUGAUGGAAAUGCACACCAUAAGGUAUUAAAUGGAAUAAUUGGUUAACCUUGAAUAACGGGUGAUGGGUAUUCACUCGUAGAUUCCUAGUAGUUUAUCAUGAGUUGUCUUUAGGUACCAGUAACAUGUUUAUGUUAUUUAUAUAGUAGUAGUUGUUUUUAAAUGGAGACGGUGAGUCUCAGAUAAUUCUUGAGGCAAAUGCUUGGAAACUGCAGGAAAGUCAUGGUGCGAGCUGGAAGUGCUCAUCCAUUGAGGGCUGAAGCCUCUACUGCAAGGGCUGAACCCCGAAUGGAAGAUAUCCUGCAAACAUUGGCCAAUAUUGGAAAUCUGAUGGAGAGGCAAGCGUAGCAAUAACUCGAAGUGGAACAUCGUCCUCAAGGACUGGUGGAGUAAUUUCUGAAGUUGAAGCCACCUAAGUUUAGUGGAAUGAGAAGUCCUGAGGAGGCGGAACAUUGAAUUGAUGGGAUAGAACAGAUUUUUUGGUUGUUGGAUUGCAGUGAUGUUGAGAAGAUAGUUUUGGCAGAGUACUAGCUGGAGGGAAAUGCAAAAUUUUGGUGGAGAGCUUCGAGGGAUACUAUCUUUCCACCAGGUAUUGAUGUGAACUUGGAUGAGUUUGUUAGAGCUUUUAAUAGGAAGCACUUCCACCAGAUAAGAAGAUCACUAAGUUUGUUCAGUUGGAACAAAGGGAACUGACAGUGGAUCAGUAUGAGGCAAAUAUGAGGCUUUCUGAAUUGUCUAGGUAUGCUCCUAGAUUGAUUGAGGAUCAUGAGGAAAAAGCUAAGAGAUUUCUAAAAGGAUUGAGGACUGAUAUUAGGAAACAACUAAAGCCUUUGAAUAUAAGGGAUUAUCAUGAGAAUUAUGAAAUGGCACAGUUAGUGGAGCAAGAGCUAGUGAGAGCGCAAUCAGAGUUUAAGAGACAGCUGAGCUUUAGUGAUAUCAGAAGGGGUAAGAGAUCCUAUCUUGGUAAAGGUCAGACUUGGGACGCUAAGAAAAAGAACAAAUUGGAAAUUUUGGAAGAGCUAGGGAUGGCCUGAAUAUAGGGAAAGCACCCUAUCAGCCUAAUGUUUGUCGAAUGUGUGAUGGGCGGCAUGGCCCGGGACCUUGCAAUGGACGGCUGAGAUGUUAUGAUUGUGGACGAGUAGGUCACCUUAAGAGAGACUACCCACAAGAGAGGUCGCAAAUGAGUGUUGGCUCGGGGCGACAUGCACAACAUAGUGCUGUUAGACCAAACCUACCAAGGAAUUCUCAGAGGCCACCAGCACAAGGAAGGGUGUAUGUGGUCACCCCAGAGGAAGCGGAAGCUUCCAGAAAUGUUAUGUUAGGUACGAUUUUCAUAAAUGGCAAAAAGGCAUAUGCAUUGUUUGACACGGGUGCUACGCAUUCAUUUAUAUAUGAAAGAUAUAGGCAAUUAAGUGAAAUAGAAGUUACGCCUUUUGAGACGCCUCUUUGUGUUUCCAUGCCUUUAAAGAAUAUGGUAUUAUCUACGAUGAUGUGUGCAAAAUGUAAAAUAACAAUAGGAGGAAGGGAUAUGGAAAUAGACCUAGUUGUAAUGGCUAUGUAUGAUUUUGAUAUUAUCAUAGGAAUGGAUUGGCUUUGUGAGUAUCAGGCCAAAAUGAAUUGUUAUAGGAAAGUGAUCCAAUUUGUUUUAUCGAACCAGUCUAGUUGUGAAUUUUUCGGAGGUCAGACCAAUCUAUCUAUAGCACUUAUUUCAGCAAUAGAGGCUCAUGCAUUACUUGAUGAAGGAUGUCAAGGGUACCUGGCAGUGGCUAAGGAUUUUGCUAGGGAAGAACAUAAGCUCGAUGAAAUUCAAGUAGUCAGUGAAUUUCCAGAUGUAUUUUCUGAAGAGUUACCUGGUUUACCACCGGAACGAGAAAUUGAAUUUGAAAUUGAACUAAUGCUUGGAACAGAACCAAUAUCGAAAGCCCCGCAUAGGAUGGCCUUAGUGGAACUAAAGGAAUUGAAGGUGCAACUACAAGAGUUGCUUGAUAAAGGAUUCAUUAGGCCAAGUGCUUCACCUUGGGGUGCACCAGUUCUAUUCGUGAAAAAGAAAGACGGGUCGAUGCGUCUAUGUAUUGAUUACAGACAGCUGAAUCAAGUGACUAUAAAGAAUAAGUAUCCUCCACCUAGAAUUGAUGAUCUAUUCGACCAACUACAAGGAAGUUCAGUCUUUUCUAAGAUUGACUUGAGAUCGGGAUACCAUCGGUUAAGGAUAAAGAAAGAAGACAUUCCUAAGACUGCAUUUAGGACUCAUUAUGGGCAUUAUGAGUUCUUAAUUAUGCAUUUUGGAUUGACGAAUGCACUAGCCGCAUUCAUGGAUUUGAUGAAUAUGGUAUUUAAGUCUUAUUUGGAUCAAUUGGUAAUUGUCUUCAUUGAUGAUAUCCUGGUAUAUUCUAGAAGACCUGAAGAGCAUGAGCAACACUUGAGCAUAGUUUUGCAAACUCUGAGAGAUCAUAAGUUGUAUGCCAAAUUUAGCAAGUGUGAAUUUUAGCUAGACUGGAUAAUAUUUUUGGGACACAUGGUGUCAGAAGGAGGAAUUGCAGUGGAUCCGGUGAAAGUUGAGAUGGUAAUAAAUUGGUCGAGACCGACAACACCCACUGAGAUCCGAAGUUUCUUAGGACUAGUUGGUUAUUAUAGAAGAUUUAUUGAAGGGUUUUCACGACUGGCAGGCCCCUUAACGAAAUUAACGUGGAAGAAUGUAAAGUUUGAAUGGAGUGGAGAAUGUGAAAGGAGCUUUCAGGAACUUAAAAGAAAAUUGACCACGGCUCUAAUCCUGACUAUACCAUCUGGGUCUGAUGGUUUUAGAGUAUAUAGUGAUGCAUCUCAUAAAGGACUGGGAUGUGUUUUGAUGCAAUAUGACAAGGUCAUAGCCUAUGCAUCGAGGCAAUUGAAACCUCAUGAACUGAAUUACCCAACGCAUGAUUUAAAAUUGGCAGCUAUAGGGUUUGCUUUGAAGAUAUGGAGACGCUAUAUGUAUGGAGAGAAGUUUGAAAUCUAUACAGAUCAUAAGAGCUUGAAGUAUUUAUUUUCGCAAAAAGAGUUGAAAAUGAGACAAAGGAGGUGGAUGGAGUUAUUAAAAGAUUAUGACUGUGCGAUACGAUAUCAUCCAGGAAAGGCAAAUAAGGUGACAGAUGCCCUUAGUCGAAAGUCGGCUAUGGACAUGGCUAGUCUAAGAAUAACAUAGUGGAAUCUGUUAAAGUCUAUUGUGAAUUUAGACUUCAAGUUGGAAAUGGACCACCUUACUGGUAUGCUUACUGAUUAAGGAUUGAGCCUAAAAUCAUUCAGAAAGUUAAGAUUUUAUAAAAUCUAACCAGAAAAUUUUGAAGAUACAAGAUGUUGUGUCUUUAGGAAAAAGACCAAAAUUUCAAGUCUCUAAAGAUGGAGUGGUGAGAUGCCAAGGACGACUUUGUGUUCCCAACAAUGAAGAAGUGAAAAGGAAAAUUCUGUUGGAGGCACAUAGGAGUAAUUAUAGUAUUCAUCCGGGUAGCACAAAGAUGAACAGGAAUUUACGUCAGCAAUUUUGGUGGAAUGGCAUGAAAGUAGAUACGGCUAAACACGUUUCUCAAUGUUUAACGUGCCAACAAGUGAACGUGAAACAUCGCCUAUUGAGAUCGUUAGACAUACCAGAGUGGAAAUGGGAGCAUGUAACGAUGGACUUUGUAUAAGGACUACCAAGGACAUCAAAUGGUCACGACUCGAUUUGGGUGAUAGUGGAUCAUUUGACUAAGUCUGCUCAUUUCCUAGCUGUCCUCAUGAACUAUUCAAUGAAUAAACUUGCUGAAAUUUAUGUAAGCCAAGUAAUACGCUUACAUGGUAUUCCUAUAACGAUCACCUCUGAUUGAGACUCUAGGUUUACUUCAAAUUUUUGGCGAAGUCUCCAAAAUACCUUAGGGACAAAGCUUCAAUUUAAUACUGUUUUUCAUCCUCAGACAGAUGGACAAACAGAAAGAGUGAUCCAGACUCUAGAGUAUAUGCUAAGAGCCUGUGUUAUUGACUUUAGAGGAAGUUGGAAUGAAAUUUGCACUUGAUAGAGUUUGCUUAUAACAAUAGUUUUCAGAAAAGUAUAGGCAUGACUCCAUAUGAAGCAUUAUAUGGAAGAAGGUGUAGAACCCCUGUCUGUUGGAAUGAAGUAGGUGAAGGAAAACUGACAGGACCCGAACUAAUGCAAGUUACUACAGAAUAGGGGUGUGCAUGGUCCGGGCGGGCGAUUCCCGACCUAGAACCGGGAACCGCCCGCUAAGGCUCGGUUCCGAAAAAUUGGAACCGGGAUCCACCCGUUUGUUGCAUGGAUCCACCCGGGAACCGGACCAUCAGUCCGAUCUGGAUCCCGGGUGGAUCCAUGGAACCGAUCUUGACGCAAAACAAUUUUGGUUUUCAACAUAGAACGACUACGUGACAUCAAAGCAAGCCAAAGAAAGAAAAACCAAAUUUAAAUAUGUGGAGAUGCGGACGGUGGGAGAAGUAAACGCAGCAAAAUGGGGAUAGGAUUAGGAGCCGAAGACGAAGGGAGUGAGUGAGAUCUAGGGUUUCUUUUAGUAAUUUUUUUUUUAAUAUUAAAAAGGUUUCGGUCCGGUCCGGGUGGGCGGGCGGGUGGAUCUGCCCAUGAAACCGGGAACUGGAUCGGUACCCACCGGUUCCCAUAAAUUGGAACCGGGAACCGGACCGGUUCCCUCAAGAACCGCCGGUUCCGGGCAGUUCCGGUCCGAUUUCGGGCAGUUCGAGCGGUUCCCGAGUAUUUUGCACACCCCUACUACAGAAGCUGUCAAGAUACUCAGGAAAAGACUUAAGACAACCUAUAACCAACAAAGAGACUAUGCUGAUAAGCGUAGAAGGCCUUUAGAGUUUAAUGUGGGAGAUCAUGUAUUCCUUAAAGUAUCCCCCAUGAAAGGAAUAUCUCGAUUUGGAAUGAAGGGUAAGUUAAGCCCUGGAUUUGUUGGACCUUUUGAGAUACUUGGAAGAAUAGGAGAUGUAACUUAUCAUUUGGCACUGCCUCCAAAAUUGGGAAAUUUACAUGAUGUGUUUCAUGUGUCGAUGCUGAGAAAUUACUAGCCAGAUCCUGGUCACAUACUCAAUCAUGAAGCCAUCAAAGUGGACGAGAAAGUGAGGUACAUUGAGGAGCUUGUGCAAAUAUUGGAUCGAAAGGAGCAAAUUCUUAGAACCAAGAAAAUCCCGUUGGUAAAGACAUUAUGGUGACAUCAUGGUGUGGAGGAAGCCACAUGGGAGAGUGAGGAAUUGAUGAGGGAAAGGUACCCUUGUUUCAAAAGGCAUAAGUGAUGUCUAAUUUCGAGGAUGAAUUCUCUAAGGAGGGGAGAAUUGUGGCAUCCAAAAUUCAUGGCAAUCUCCAGAUACAUUAAGGCCUAUGAAUAGGUGAUGGAAGUACCAUCAAGUUGUAUUGUAGUCAUUUGAUACAUGAUUUGUAAUAAGAUUUAUGGUCAAGCUUUUAAUGGAUAAUUAUUUGAUAGGAAAGAAAAUUCUAUUAUUGACCAUGUGUUUUAUAAGGUGGAAUUUAUUGAUUUAUGAUUUCAAGUUUUAUGGCCAAGAGAAUAAGGUAAAUUAAGUAUUUAUAUGAUGGGUAAUUAGGUGAUAAUUAAAAGGAAAAAUUAGAAGAGUGGGUUGAAUUUUAUUGGCCCAAGAUCAGCCCCACCAUUCGGCCAUUUGGGCCUGGCCCGCGAAGCCUAAAGGGGAGAGGAGCUGCCAUCGACCAAGGCUGGCCCAAGCCCAGCUGGAUAAAGCCCAUCUUGCAUGGCAAUUACCAAGUGUCACCUGCAUGCAAAGAAAUGAUUACAACCUAAUCAUGAGGGGGAAGAAAGAAGAGGGGGGCGGAUUAAGCGAGGAAAGGGAGAGAAAGAGAGGGGGUCGCACGAGAGAAAGAGAAAGAGAGAGAGAGAGAGUGUUCAUCCGAGAGAAAUAAAGGAAGAGAGAAAGAGAGCGAGCGUGCAAGAGAAGAAGAGGAAAAAGGAGGAGGAGUUCGCCGCCUAGUCGCCGCUGUUCGUUCGCCGCCUUGCCCGCCGUUUGUCGCUGUGUUUGUGCACGGAUUUGAGGCAAGUAGAGUCCAAAAUCCUACCCUUUGCUUGCUGUGAUAUGUUUUGUAAGAGAUGGUUAACUUUGGUUGUGGUAGAAGUGAAGAAAUUCGAAGCUCUAGGGAGAAAUAGGGUAGCCUUGCAUUCUGUUUUCUAGGAAGGCAGUCCAACAUUUGAUGAAGUUGUAAGCUGCAUGUGACUUUUUAGUUAGAAUAUUAUUUCAACUCCUUAAUAAACGUUGUAGAUAACUUAUUGGAGAGUAACAUAUCAAAAUUUCAGAAGAAAUGAACAAGUAUAAACCGGUGAAACUAUUUUUCUUUGAAGAAGUCAGAUCUGGAAAUCGUAAUGCUGACUUAGUGUGAUUUUGUGAAUUUUAUAAAAUUCUCUGGUUGAAAUUCGAUUUCAUGUUCUUAACGAAAGUUGAAGAUGACAUGUUAAGGAGUAACAUACUAAAAUUUCAGAGGAAAUAGAUGAGUUUAGGUUGGUGAAAUGAUUUUAUUUGAAAUGGUCAGAUCUGGGAAUUUUUGCUGAGGGUUAGAGACGGCUACGGUGAUUAUAGUUUUUAAUAUAUCACAAAUAUGAUUUCAAGUUCUACAUGAAAUAUUUACUUCUGGACCUUGUCUAUAAAAUAUAAAAAUUUCAUAAUUUUUGGAGCUGAUUUAGGAUUUUUACCGAAUUUGUGAAUGAAACUGUGUAUGGCAAUAUUCCGAAAUUUUAAGGACUGUGAUGCAUGGAUUGUAUUGAUUUGUGUGAUGUUCUUUUGAUAUGGUGUUCUGCACGGAAUACUUUCCUCUAGAUCUUGUAUAUAAUAUGAAAUUUUUUUAGAAUUUAAUAAGGCUGUUUACUAAUUUUUUUAGAAUUAUGACCAAAGGAGUGCAAUCUGUUUUCAUCCGAAAUUUGUUGUAUUUUCAAAAAUAAAUGAAAUUGUUCCAUGUGACAUAAUGUUUUGAGUGGUUGAUUAUGAUGCAUAUGUAAUGACAUAUGGCAUGUUAUAUGACAUCAAAUGCUGGUUGAGACCUUUGACAAUUGUUGCAUCAAAUACCAUGUUGAAAUUGAGAUAAUAACAAGACUGUCGGAGGUGUGAGCUGACGAUGCCCGAAGUGUGUGUGCCAGAUGUUCUCGGGAGUUUCGGGAUACCCAAAGGUGUGUGCCGCAAGCCUCGUAGGUGUGUGCCGGGGGGAUAUCUCGUGAUGCUAGUUGGGGUACGAGAUGCCCGGAGUGUGUGUGUCGGAUGCUCGGAGGUGUGUGUCGGAGGUUCCUCGCGAUGCCAGGUUGGAUGCGAGCGAUAAAUUGAGGGAUGCAAACAUUGGUCCCUAGAAAGAAAAAAAUGAUGUGAUAUAAUUGAAAGAUAAAGAUCGAGAAUUGAAUCAUGUGCAUGGUAUGAACCUCAUGGGAAUGCAAGCCUUGAGUGCAUGAUGAUAUAUGCAAGUUACAUGAUGAUAUAUGCAUGGUUGCUUGAUAAUUUAGGUACAAGUUUCAUGAUGAUAUAUGCAUGGCUGCAAGGUGAGGUAUGCUUGAAUGCAUGAAUAAUAUGUGUUAUAUUCAUGAUACCUUGAUUAUUCUGUUUCAUGUACUGUGUAGUUUGGCGGAUCUUUACUGCUUAGUGGUUGUACUCACCCCUUUUGGGAAUUAACAUUUCAGAUUAGAAAUAUGCCUCUUUCACAAGUUGUGUGUGGUACCUUCUAUGGCAUACCUACUGACGUUGAGGAUGAGUGCACCAAGCAUUCCCGUAUUAGUAUACUUGGUCUGGAGUACGUUCGAGUCCAAGUAUUGGUGAUGUACGAUGUGGGUUCAGCUAAUGGCCCUAUUAUCCAAGAGUUUUUGUCCGUUCACAUUCGACGCAAUGUGGUGAUGCUAGGGAUGCUACCGCUGCCGCCGCCCGAUGCACCGGGUUGGGUGUGAUGGCACAUAUGACUAGUGGGAGCUGACGUUUUCUUUUUGGGGAUAGCCGACGCUUGUGAAUGGAGGGAUGUAUAUGUUUCAUAUAGGGUCGAGUUCUCUUUUGGGUUAUAGCUAAGUAUAGUUGAAAAUCUUGGCCUUUUUGUUGUAUUGACCCGAAAUGUCUAUCGUGGAAAUAUAAAUAAAAGUGAAUCGGCUUUAUCUUUUCUUCUGGUGCGUAGUUGUUGUGCAUUGCAUUAUGGUUAUUGAAGUGAAAAAUGGUGAGAUACGUUUAUGCUUCUACUGAUGAACUGCGUUAGGACCUUUACAAAUAUAUAUAUAUAUAUAUAUAUAUAUAUAUAUAUAUGAAAAAGUAUUCUAUUGAUCAACCCCUAUAAACUAUGGUUACACUUAAAUAAAAAAAAGUUAUUUUACUGGUAUGUAGUAGGAUGAGUGACAAGCACCUGUGGUGACCCUUCACGGAUCAGGGGUCGUCGAGGGGUGCCACAGGUGUGCCCAGAUCUAGGCAUCCUCGCACGACUUGGCGGGGGUGGCCGGCCCUCACUAGGGUCCGUCGAGGCCUUACUCGAGCGAGGGUUGGCCACCCCACCCGGUUGCCGGCCCCUUUGGCGAUGGGCGGCGGCGGAAGCUCCACUAGUGCCUUUUUUUUUUAACAGUUUUGUUUUUUUUAAAUAAAUUUAGCUUUUCCUUUUUAGUUUUUAAUCUAAUUUUUAAAGAUUUUGAAUAAAAAAUAAUUUUAAAAAGCCGUAUGUAAAAUAAAAAAUUCAUUUAAAAUAUGACGACAGCGUCAAGUUAGCAAUUUCCGUUGAUAAAUCUGACGGUGUUAAUUUUAGGAUUCAAUUGGACCAACUUGACAAGUUUUAGAAUUCAUUGCAAUUUUUAUAAAUUCUAAGACUUAAUUGUAUUUUUUUUUUUUUGGGUUUUAGCACUUCUGUUGAACAUAUCCCUUUAAAUUAUUUUCUCCUGUCUCCACCCGAACACCCGGAGUUGCCCUUAAAAAAACACGCAACUUCGAAUUUUUGUAAUUUUCUAAACAUUUCACCAGAUCCACGCGGAUGCUUAAUGACUAAGCAGAGAAAACUAAGCACGCAGAUAUCAAGGUACGCGUCUUGUCCGUGAAAUGCCGUGUGUAGGAUCUGGCGGCCGAGCGAAACUACGUCCUCGCUUCGUUGACCUUAUCAUCCCUAUAAAUAGGUCCAAUCCCUUCUUAAUUUCGCAUCAUCCGAUCGAUCUUCCAAUCCAUUACUUCGAACUUACGGCAACUUGAAAUUCGAAGCGAGCGUCUACCAGAGCAGAAAUAUGUCUCAUCAUGGACAUCAUCAGCAGCAGUAUCACUACAUGUACCAAGGUGAGGGACAUCAUGGCCAUGGAGUACAGAUGGGUCCCGGCCAUGGCCAUCACGGGGGAGGAUAUUAUGGCGGGUUUGGUCCUGGAGGACAUCAUGGGCAUGGGUUCCUGGGACAUGGCCAUCACGGGGGAGGAUAUUAUGGCGGGUUUGGCCCGGGAGUCAUCUAUGGGCACGGGCAGGGGCACGGGCACGGGCUUGGGCACGCCAUAAAUGGGCUUCUAGGGAAUUUGCAUCCUCAUCACCAUCAUGCCUAUCAUCAUGGGCAUGGUCUUUUUGGACACAUGAACGGAGGUCAUGCUGUUCCAGUUCAUGGAUGGGGACAUAAUCUACAUGGCCUUGGAGGAGGACAUCACCAUCAUCACCAUGGUUGAUGUCGCUGACUUGUUUGAUUAGUGUUUUGACUUAUCGAUAUCAUGCCGAUUUGUGGCUUGGUCGACUCGGAUUGAAUGUUGGGGCUUUGUUAUUGUAAUGUUGGCUUUUUUUUUUCUUAGUAUUGCUUAUAAAGGAUUCGUGUACAAUUCGUUCUUUGAUUCUCUUGUCAAAAUAAGUGUUUUAAAAAAAUUACGCCUCCUUAUUUCUCCGAAGGACUCAUCUCUCCUCUUAGUCUUUUGUACGGGCAAGGUGGGAAUAGUAACAUGAGCAAAGAGCAUGAGAGGAAGUGUCGAGAUUUGAAUAUUUAAUGUGAAUAGGAUGGUUUAAGUUAUAAAUUGAUUGCAUAAUUAUUUACUCCAAAAUUUAAGUUAUCAAAGUGCGACAUAUAAUUUAUCUCUUAACGCUCUUGUCACAGGAAUACCAAUUCAAUGAUGAAGGCCCUAGACGUGUAAAUUCGAUGUAUGUAGUGGAAGAAUUUUUUAAAACCCUUUGCCCAUUAUAAAAGGGAACUCAUAAAUUGGUGAACCGGAGACGUGAAGAAUCAAACUUGAGAUUUUCAGACUCUAAAUACUCAUUCAACAUUGAAUGUGCUAUCAUUUACUUCAAAAGCUUAAUCUAUUAGAGUAAAGAGCGGAAGUUAUAUAUAUAUUUGAAUAUAAUGAUCAACUACUGUAUGCGCCCACGCUUCAUAUGGGCUUUUUGUCUUUUAAUUUUUCUAAGAAUUCAUAUCUACCCAAAAUCCUUCUUUAAUUUUGUAGUUGUGGAGCUAUAGUGGGCACAAUAAUGGUGAAAGUUGAUACUCGAGAUAAAAAAAAAGUUAAAAAAAGAUUAUCAAGCGGAACACUGUUCUUGCUCAAUUUUAUGAUGAAAUUCGACUAAAUUGCCCCCAUAUUAAAAGAAAGAACAUUAGGUCUGUGCUUUCUUUUACAUACUCCCAUCCUUCUUCCUCACUCCCUCCAUUUUCUUGAGCUUUUAUCCUUUUUUUCCUUAAUCUCAAAAACCCAUUGCGCAUUGGGGCAAAGCAUGUCCUGUAGUUGAGUUUGUUGAAAGCAGGCACUAGUCUUAGCCCAUGUACCAUGUGACGGAUACCGAUCCGAUGCAUUCGAACACAAGGAAAUUUCAAAACUCGUUGCCUAUAAAGGCUAUAAUGAAAGGGGAAUCCAUAGAUGGGUGAGAUGAGGACACGAGGAACCAUUAGAUUUCAAGCUCCAAUACCAAUUAGAAAUUGAAUGUGCAACUAUUUACUUCAAAAGUUUUAUAUAUUAUUGUAAACUAGAUAUUGGAGAUGUGAAGACGAGUAGAGACCAUUGUCAAAACCCGCCUAAUGUGUGGAGACAAGAUACUAAACCAUCGUCAAGUAAUCUAUUUGUAGAUACAAUGCAUUGACAUAAUUAGUAGAUACUAAAUUAUUAUCAAAAGACUAGAACAAAAGCCAUAACACUAAAAUUCAUUGACUAAUAAUUCACUAUUCUCAACGAAUUUUAUACCCAAAUGUUAAAAUCCUAUGAAAUACACUUAGUAAUACAAUCUUGGACUCGUAAAUGUAGUUUUAGCAUUCAAAUGAGAUGAGAUUGUGAAACUUAGUCCAAUGAAGUGAUAAGGUGCUAUGCAUCGAAUAGUGAAAUUUCAUUUCAAAAGUAUAAUUAGUUUUUUUUUGGGAAAACAAAAAUUGACAUAAUUCAUUAUUUUGGAGGAAAAAAAUAUUUUUUGUUUUUCCUUGAAAAAACGUCUCUAUUUUGAUUUCUUAUUAUAGGAGGAAAACAUGGCGCCAACCCUCCUCCGAUUAAAACUGUCAUUAGUUCUUUAUUGAUUAAAAAUAUCUUAAUUAAAUUAGCAAUAAUGUCAUCUGGCAAAAAAAUUCACUUUUAAACUCCAUUUAGUUCGCAAAAAAUGAAUAUUUUAUAAAUAUUUUCUUUAAAAUAGUUAUUUGAAAUAAUUAAUCAAUUAAAUAUAUUUUAUUAUUGAUAAAAAUUUAUGUCUAAUUAUUUUUUUAGAUGAUAAAUUUUAAAAUUUAUUUAUUCUAUUAAGUGAUAUAAAUAAUUAUUUAAAAAAAUAUUUUUCAGAACGAAAGGAAAACAGGCAACCUUAAAGUAUAAUUUCUAUUUAAAAUGUUAUCACGAAAUAAAUUAUUGUGGCCCAAAGGAGCAACAUUAUCUGAUCACCGAACGUGCACUCCAAGCGAGACGCGUGGAAGCGCAAAUCAGAACGUGCCGACAUCCCCCGUCCCCAUCUCUGGUCCCAUUUCCCUACGCAGAUAGAAAGCGACCUCCAUUGACACGACGCAUUCACACGCUUGAACUUGCUCCCCAAGGCAACGCAUGGCGACAAUUUCCAUCGUUCGCAGUUUGACAAGUUUCCAUAGCGUUCCCACUGAUCGCUUAAGUACUUAAUAGCUAAGCUAAGAAAUUUGGCAGAGAAGAGGCGUGUGAAGAGAUCGUUGUAUUUGAUUGGCUGCUGCAGCCAAACCACCGCUUACUGAACCUCUAUAAAUAGAAGGCCCCUCUUCCCUUCAACUCUCAUCAUUUAGACGGCUAUUCCUGUAUCAAGAUUGAAUCAGAGCCAAGGGGAUAUACUAAACAGAGGAUGAAGAUGAGAAUGAUUCGCGAGGGGAGGUAUCAUCAGGGUCGACAUCGUCGUCAUGGGAUGGGUAAAGGGGCGGGACACGGGCAUCAUGGGGGGCGUGGUCCCCACGGAGGACUCCUCUUUGGGCAUGGUCUCGGAGGACAUGGGUGUCAUGGACAUGGACAGGGGCUUCACCUGAGCGGUGUUUUGGGGCAUGGGGGUUGUGGGCAUGGACAUGGGCAUCACGUGAGGGUUCCUUUGGUCCAUGGACAUGGACUUUUCAAACAUGGUCAUCAUGGUCAUUGCAAAGGUCACGGUCAUGGUCACAAAGGGCGCCAUGCGCAUGCCCGCUGCGGGGGGCGUCAUACCUGUAUGGAGCAACCGGAACAGGAACAAGAACAGCAACAGGAACAGGAAGUCGCAGCUGCGACGCCGACUCCGAUAACCGAGCAACUCGGUACUCUCGCUCUGACUGCUGAUUAGGGAGGAGGCCACUUGGAGCUGGGUCUUAAAUAUCAGCGACGCCCGUGUUAGCGAUAAAUAUGUUUUGGAGAUUUCGUGUCUUGGCUCCUACGAAUAAUCAGUACCAGUUUUAUCUUUUCGGGUUGUUUCGUUGGAUGAUCAGAUUCAACGGUUUGAAGUGUUGUGGAGGUUGAUGGCUGUUGUGGAGGUCAAUGGAAGUUUCUCUAUACAGCUGGUGUACCGAUAUUAUACGAUGGUACACUAAAAAUUAGUGUGAUGGUAUCGGUCAUUUGAGGUUUCGGAUCAAAUGAUUCCAUAUAUUUUAUGCAGAAGAUUUGAAGGUUCUGAAUUAUGUUAAGAAUUAGAAAUGAUUCGUUGCUGAUCUCUUCGAGAGCGUCAUUGGCAUGCAUGAGCAAAUUGACCAGAAUUAAUUGAUAGGUAAGGGUUUUAACAGCAAACAUCGCGGACAAUGGCAUAUGCUUUCCAUCUUGUCAUUCAAGUAACUGCGGCAAAAGAUUUGGGAACCUGGCAACCCAAAUUGACGAUCAAGAAAUCGAACUUCUUCUACUACUUGAAAACCCAUAAACUUAUUAUUAUGAUAUUUUUGUUAAUGCACCAAUUUGAUCAGUCCGUAAGAAAAAGGAACAAGAUUCACAGAUGAAGUAUAAGCUGAAUCGUCCGUAGUAAUUACAUAGUAAAGUGUGGCUUGACCUUGAAUCCUGAUCGGGCUGGAGGCGAAGACCGGCAAAUUUAUCUUUUACCAGUUUUCACAGAAAAGGAGGCCAAACCAAUGAAUGGCAGAUUUUAAUUUGAUCAGAUCAGGUAGCCCUUUAAGCACUGCUUGGUUGUACGGUCCGAUGCCAAGCCGGUGUUGUAGGAAUCGAGGCUGCCCUCCCAAGUCCCUGCGGAAACGGUGGGAAAGGAGUUGAGCAUGCCUGGCGAAGAAGGUGGCUAAAUACGGUUGGUUACGGGGCUAUGUUAGGACUAAAGAAGGAAUGGGUACUGUAAUUGAGCUAGAAUCAACCAACCAAGACUGAACACUAGCCCCAUUUUGUAGACGGGUUGGGACCAGCCUUCUAUCCCGGUGAACAAUGUUCCACUGAUUAGGCGGAGGCAGGAUUCGAACCUGCAAUCUUCAGGUCAUGAGCCUAAUGAGUUAACCAUUCCUCUACCCCGCUUCUUCCCCUUCUCUUUCUUUCACUAUUCCCACCUAGGGAUGCCAAAGUCUUCCUAUUUCUCCAUUGUUCCAAUCAGAUCCGAAAAAUGAGAAAUUAAUCAAAAGUCAGUGGACCCGAAUUGAAUCAUGACUAUAUAAGCUAUUUUGAUAUUCAGAUUCAAUAUAGAUGAAAUCAUGGAAUGGAAGCCGACCUUUUAUUUCCUUGGACCACGCAAGAAUUCGUCGUCCGAUUAAAUCUUCUUGUUCCUGGAUGCUCUAUAGGAAUUCAUCGCUAUUCCUUUCCGCCACUGAGAAAGGUUCAUUCUGAAUCACACGAGCAAUCUCUCUUUUUUUUCGUUAUGGUAAUGCAAUGCAAGAGGUCGGAAAUCCGGUUGUUUCUGAUGAUGAAAAGAGGUUUUUUUUUUUUUUUUUUUUUAUGUAAUGUGAAAUGAAUUUAUGAAAACCCGAUAUUUAAAGGUCAGUAAUGUUAGAAGACGACUGUCGGUAUCUGAUGGUCGAAUGCCCACGGUCGGUAUAUCUUUGAUAGCUCAGACGGAGAGAAUAAAUGGACUCCUCGAGGGCUACUUAAGGCACUUUAUUUAGUGCAAACCAGAAGGACUGGAGCUGUUGGAUGUUGCUCAAUACUGCUAUAACUUAACAACGAAAAAGCCCUGCGUCGAACUUAAGCCCCUUUGACUUGGCCACGGGGCAACAUCCUCUGACGCCCCACACCAUUGCGACAAGAGGGGGCUAGCCCAUACACCCACUGCACGAGUGGAAUACUACUUAGUCAAGUAGAAGGGCCAACCUGAGAGCGAGGCAAGCUGGGAACGGGCUGAAACGUGCGAUUCGAAGACCAAGUCAGAGACUACUGGACGUCUCGCAGAGCGACUCUCAACGAGGACGUUGAGACUUUUCGAAAGGAGGGGUUAUUCAUUUCGCAUUUUUGUAAAUGUGAGCCUACAAAAGCUCAAGGCAGCUUCUCGACAUGCUAAGCUGAGUAGGGUUAAUAAAAAAAAUUUCUACCGAAAUUAUCCUCGCUAAUUAUUCAUUUUUUUGAUUUUACCCUCGAUGACUAUUCAUUUUUUUCUUUUCUGUUGAAUAGGAUCGGCAUGGCUAUGAGCGGUUGCUUUUGAAGGGCAGGCGGUCGAGUGACCCUCUGGCGAGAGUUGUGGGGACCCAAAUCAUGCGGACCCUCUGGCAAGGGUCGUGCAAUCCGGGUCACCGCGACCCUUGCCGAAGAGUUAUGCGACCCGCUGCGCUAUGACCUUCGCGUGGAGGUUGCCGGGGCUGCGUGAUCUAGGUCGCACGACCCUCAUUGAACUACCUAUCCUUGCCGGACCAUUUGCAUCAGACUGCUGCCCUUCGUCGAAUCGCUUACUCCUCACUAGCAUUUGCCUCUCCUUGGUCAGCCAACUCCUUUUUUUUUUUUUUGCAAAUAUAAUUUGUCCCAAUACUAUUUUUUUUUCGAAGGUACUUCAUCAUGGACUAUUACAAUAUAAUUUACCAAACAUAAUUUAUAUUUUGAAAGACUCUUUUAAAUUAACGCCCACUACAUUUUUUUUUAAACUUUCUCUAGAAAUCUUCCCAAAGGCAUCCUAUAACAAAGCCAAACCAUUAAAAUUCACUACAAAUAAUUUGAUUUUCACAACCAAAGUACAUACACAAAUGUCACAAUCCUAUGAAAUAGAAUUACCAGUACUAUCUCGUACUAGUAAUUCUAGUUUUACUAUUCAACGGAGAUGAGGUCGGUAAACUUUAUCCAAAUGACAUUGUAAGUUGUUAAUGCCUUUGAUAGUGACAGUUAGCUGAAGAAGUAUGAAUAGUUAUUUCAUAAACAAAAAUUAAGACAAUGCCUUGUUUUCAAUUAAUUUUUUUUUAAAAGAAUGUGUUUAUCUUUCAUUUCUUCUUAUAGGAGGAAAAUAUGGCACCAAUCCUCUUCUCAUUAAGAAUUGUGACACUAAGUGAAAAAGAAGAGAAAUUGCGGUAAUUUUGUAUAUUGUGUUGAUUCAACUUGUUUUACUUUACAUGUAUAAGUCUCUCUUUAUAAUACCAUGUGUGGCUAAUAAAGGAAAUAAUAAGGAGGACUAUAUAGAAUCAAUGCUAAUUCUAGAUCGAUUCACACAAUCAUUUUCAAUCACAAAUUGUUUUAAAUUAUUUUCUCCUGUCUCCACUCGAACACCUGGAGUUGCCGUUCCUUAAACAAACACGCAACUUCGAAUUUUUGUAAUUUUCAAAACAUUUCACCAGAUCCACGCGGAUGCUUAACGACUAAGCAGAGAAAACACGCAGAGAUCAAGGGACGCGUCUUGUCCGUGAAAUGCCGUGUGUAGGAUCUGGCGGCCGAGCGAAACUAUGGCCUCGCGUUGUUGACCUUAUCAUCCCUAUAAAUAGGUCCAAUCCCUUCUUAAUUUCGCAUCAUCCGAUCGAUCUACCAAUCCAUUACUUCAAACUUACAGCAACUUGAAAUUCAAAGCGAGCGUCUACCAGAGCAGAAAGAUGUCUCAUCAUGGACAUCAUCAGCAGCAGUAUCACUACAUGUACCAAGGUGAGGGACAUCAUGGCCAUGGAGUACAGAUGGGUCCCGGCCAUGGCCAUCACGGGGGAGGAUAUUAUGGCGGGUUUGGUCCUGGAGGACAUCAUGGGCAUGGGUUCCUGGGACAUGGCCCUCACGGGGGAGGAUAUUAUGGCGGGUUUGGCCCGGGAGUCAUCUAUGGGCACGGGCAGGGGCAGGGGCACGGGCUUGGGCACGCCAUAAAUGGGCUUCUAGGGAAUUUGCAUCCUCAUCACCAUCAUGCCUAUCAUCAUGAGCAUGGUCUUUUUGGACACAUGAACGGAGGUCAUGCUGUUCCAGUUCAUGGAUGGGGACAUAAUCUACAUGGCCUUGGAGGAGGACAUCACCAUCAUCACCAUGGUUGAUGUCGCUGACUUGUUUGAUUAGUGUUUCAACUUGUCGAUAUCACGCCGGUUUGUGGCUUGGUCGACUUGGAUCGAAUCUUGGGGCUUUGUUAUUGUAACGUUGGCUUUUUUUUUCCUUAGUAUUGCUUAUACAGGAUUCGUGUACAAUUCGUUCUUUGAUUCUCUUGUCAAAAUAAGUGUUUUAAAAAAAUUACGCCUCCUUAUUUCUCCAAAGGACUCAUCUUAGUCUUUUGUAUGGGCAAGGUGGGAAUAGUAACAUGAGCAAAGAGCAUGAGAGGAAGUGUCGAGAUUUGAAUAUUUAACGUGGAUAGGAUGGUUUAAGUUAUAAAUUGAUUGCAUAAUUAUUUACUCCAAAAUUUAAGUUAUCAAAGUGCGGCAUAUAAUUUAUCUCUUAAUGCUCUUGUCAUAGGAAUACCAAUUCAAUGAUGAAGGCCCUAGACGUGUAAAUUCGGUGUAUGUAGCAGAAGAAUUUUUUAAAACCCUUUGCCCAUUAUAAAAGGGAACUCAUAAAUUGGUGAACCGGAGACGUGAGGAAUCAAACUUGAGAUUUUCAGACUCUAAAUACUCAUUCAAUAUUGAAUAUGCUAUCAUUUACUUCAAAAGCUUAAUCUAUUAGAGUAAAGAGCGGAAGAUAUACAUAUAUAUAUAUAUAUAUUUGAAUAUAAUGAUCAACUACUGUAUGCGCCCACGCUUCAUAUGGGCUUUUUGUCUUUUAAUUUUUUUAAGAAUUCAUAUCUACCCACAAUCCUUCUUUAAUUUUGUAGUCGUGGAGCUAUAGUGGGCACAAUAAUGGUGAAAGUUGAUACUCGAGAUAAAAAAAAAGUUAAAAAAAAGAGUAUCAAGCGGAACACUGUUCUUGCUCAAUUUUAUGAUGAAAUUCGACUAAAUUGCCCCCAUAUUAAAAGAAAGAACAUUAGGUCUGUGCUUUCUUUUACAUACUCCCAUCCUUCUUCCUCACUCCCUCCAUUUUCUUGAGCUUUUAUCCUUUUUUUUUCUUAAUCUCAAAAACCCAUUGCGCAUUGGGGCAAAGCAUGUCCUGUAGUUGAGUUUGUUGAAAGCAGGCACUAGUCUUAGCCCCUGUACCAUCUGACGGAUACCGAUCCGAUGCAUUCGAACACAAGGAAUUUUCAAAACUCGUUGCCUAUAAAGGCUAUAAUGAAAGGGGAAUCCAUAGAUGGGUGAGAUGAGGACACGAGGAACCUUGAGAUUUCAAGCUCCAAUACCAAUUAGAAAUUGAAUGUGCAACUAUUUACUUCAAAAGUUUUAUAUAUUAUUGUAAACUAGAUAUUGGAGAUGCGAAGACGAGUAGAGACCAUUGUCAAAACCCGCCUAAUGUGUGGAGACAAGAUACUAAACCAUCGUCAAGUAAUUUGUCAAGUAAUCUAUUUGUAGAUACAAUGCAUUGACAUAAUUAGUAGAUACUAAAUUAUCAUCAAAAGACUAGAACAAAAGCCAUAACACUAAAAUUCACUGACUAAUAAUUCACUAUUCUCAACGAAUUUUAUACCCAAAUGUUAAAAUCCUAUGAAAUACACUUAGUAAUACAAUCUUGGACUCGUAAAUGUAGUUUUAGCAUUCAAAGGAGAUGAGAUUGUGAAACUUAGUCCAAUGAAGUCAUAAGGUGCUAUAAAGUCAUAAGGUUCUAUGCAUCGAAUAGUGAAAUUUCAUUUCAAUAGUAUAAUUAGUUUUUUUUUUGGGAAAAAAAAUUGACAUAAUUCAUUAUUUUGGAGGAAAAAAAUAUUUUUUGUUUUUCCUUGAAAAAACGUCUCUAUUUUGAUUUCUUAUUAUAGGAGGAAAACAUGGCGCCAACCUUCCGAUUAAAGCUGUCAUUAGUUCUUUAUUGAUUAAAACUAUCUUAAUUAAGUUAGCAAUAAUGUCAUCUGGCAAAAAAAUUCACUUUUAAACUCCAUUUAGUUCGCAAAAAAUGAAUAUUUUAUAAAUAUUUUCUUUAAAAUAGUCAUUUGAAAUAAUUAAUCAAUUAAAUAUAUUUUAUUAUUGAUAAAAAUUUAUGUCUAAUUAUUUUUUUAGAUGAUAAAUUUUAAAAUUUAUUUAUUCUAUUAAGUGAUAUAAAUAAUUAUUUUAAAAAAUAUUUUUCAGAACGAAAGCAAAACAGGCAACCUUAAAGUAUAACUUCUAUUUAAAAUGUUAUCACAAAAUAAAUUAUUGUGGCCAAAAGGAACAACAUUAUCUUCUCACCGAACGUGCACUCCAAGCGAGACGCGUGGAAGCGCAAAUCAGAACGUGCCGACAUCCCCGUCCCCAUCUCAGGUCCCAUUUCCCUACGCAGAUAGAAAGCGACCUCCAUUGACACGACGCAUUCACACGCUUGAACUUGCUCCCCAAGGCAACGCAUGGCGACAAUUUCCAUCGUUCGCAGUUUGACAGGUUUCCAUAGCGUUCCCACUGAUCGCUUAAGUACUUAAUAGCUAAGCUAAGAAAUUUGGCAGAGAAGAGGCGUGUGAAGAGAUCGUUGCAUUUGAUAGGCUGCUGCAGCUAAACCUCCGCUUACUGAACCUCUAUAAAUAGAAGGCCCCUCUUCCUUUCAUCUCUCAUCAUUUAGACGGCUAUUCCUGUAUCAAGAUUGAAUCAGAGCCAAAGGGAUAUACUAAACAGAGAUUGAAGAUGAAAAUGGUUCACGAGGGAAGGCAUCAUCAGGGUCGACAUCGUCGUCAUGGGAUGGGUAACGGGGGCGGACAUGGGCAUCAUGGGGGGCAUGGUCCCCACGGAGGAGGACUCCUCUUUGGGCAUGGUCUCGGAGGACAUGGGUGUCGUGGACAUGGACAGGGGCUUCACCUGAGCCGUGUUUUGGGGCAUGGGGGUUGUGGACAUGGACAUGGGCAUCAUGUGAGGGGUCUUUUAUUCCACGGACAUGGACUUUUCAAACAUGGUCAUCAUGGUCAUUGCAAAGGUCACGGUCAUGGUCACAAAGGGCGCCAUGCGCAUGCCCGCUACGGGGGGCGUCAUAUCUGUAUGGAGCAACCGGAACAGGAACAAGAACCGCAAUAGGAACAGGAAGUCGUAGCUGCAACGCCGACUCCGAUAACCGAGCAACUCGGUACUCUCGCUCUGACUGCUGAUUAGGGAGGAGGCCACUUGGAGCUGGGUCUUAAAUAUCAGCGACGCCCGUGUUAGUGAUAAAUAUGUUUUGGAGAUUUGGUAACAUCCUGGAUCCCACUGUGUGAUAUUGUCCGCUUUGGGUCACCUGCCCUGGCGUGGACGAACCGCCAUCCCAGCCACGGUCUUUUCCCUAACGGCUUUAAAACGUGUUACACAGGUUAGAGGGACCCAAGCCUUAUAAGCUAACCAAGAUCUCCCUCCCUAGGCGAUGUGGGACAAGAGGGAGGUUAUCAUACCACUUGUAACAUCCCGGGCCCCAUGUGUAAUAUUGUCCGCUUUAGGUCACCCACCCUGGCGCGGACGAACCGCCAUCCCAGCCACGGUCUUUUCCCUCACGGCUUUAAAACACAUUACACAGGUUAGAGGGACCCAAGCCUUAUAAGCUAACCAAGAUCUCCCUCCCUAGGCGAUGUGGGACAAGAGGGAGGUUAUCACACUCUCCACCUCUUAACAGAAUAGCGUCCUCGCUAUGGCCCCACGGGCAUCAGAACAGGAUUCAAGCUGUGGUCCCACACGCGGUCGGGAGUCGGCUCUGAUACCACUUGUAACAUCCCGGGCCCCACUGUGUAAUAUUGUCCGCUUUGGGUCACCCGCCCUGGCGCGGACGAGCCGCCAUCCCAGCCACGGUCUUUUCCCUCACGGCUUUAAAACGCGUACACAGGUUAGAGGGACCCAAGCCUUAUAAGCUAACCAAGAUCUCCCUCCCUAUGCGAUGCGGGACAAAACGGAGGCUAUCACCNNNNNNNNNNNNNNNNNNNNNNNNNNNNNNNNNNNNNNNNNNNNNNNNNNNNNNNNNNNNNNNNNNNNNNNNNNNNNNNNNNNNNNNNNNNNNNNNNNNNNNNNNNNNNNNNNNNNNNNNNNNNNNNNNNNNNNNNNNNNNNNNNNNNNNNNNNNNNNNNNNNNNNNNNNNNNNNNNNNNNNNNNNNNNNNNNNNNNNNNNNNNNNNNNNNNNNNNNNNNNNNNNNNNNNNNNNNNNNNNNNNNNNNNNNNNNNNNNNNNNNNNNNNNNNNNNNNNNNNNNNNNNNNNNNNNNNNNNNNNNNNNNNNNNNNNNNNNNNNNNNNNNNNNNNNNNNNNNNNNNNNNNNNNNNNNNNNNNNNNNNNNNNNNNNNNNNNNNNNNNNNNNNNNNNNNNNNNNNNNNNNNNNNNNNNNNNNNNNNNNNNNNNNNNNNNNNNNNNNNNNNNNNNNNNNNNNNNNNNNNNNNNNNNNNNNNNNNNNNNNNNNNNNNNNNNNNNNNNNNNNNNNNNNNNNNNNNNNNNNNNNNNNNNNNNNNNNNNNNNNNNNNNNNNNNNNNNNNNNNNNNNNNNNNNNNNNNNNNNNNNNNNNNNNNNNNNNNNNNNNNNNNNNNNNNNNNNNNNNNNNNNNNNNNNNNNNNNNNNNNNNNNNNNNNNNNNNNNNNNNNNNNNNNNNNNNNNNNNNNNNNNNNNNNNNNNNNNNNNNNNNNNNNNNNNNNNNNNNNNNNNNNNNNNNNNNNNNNNNNNNNNNNNNNNNNNNNNNNNNNNNNNNNNNNNNNNNNNNNNNNNNNNNNNNNNNNNNNNNNNNNNNNNNNNNNNNNNNNNNNNNNNNNNNNNNNNNNNNNNNNNNNNNNNNNNNNNNNNNNNNNNNGGACCACAGCUUGAAUGCUGUUCUGACACCAGUGGGGCCACAGCGAGGACGCUGUUCUGUUAAGAGGUGGAGAGUGUGAUAACCUCCCUCUUGUCCCACAUCGCCUAGGGAGGGAGAUCUUGGUUAUCUUAUAAGGCUUGGGUCCCUCUAACCUGUGUAACACGUUUUAAAGUCGUGAGGGAAAAGACCGUGGCUGGGAUGGCGGUGCGUCCGCGCUAGGGCGGGUGACCCAAAGUGGACAAUAUUACACAGUGGGGCCUGGAAUGUUACAGAUUUCGUGUCUGGGCUCCUACCAAUAAUCAGUACCAGUUUUAUCUUUUUGGGUUGUUUCGUUGAAUGAUCAGAUUCAACGGUUGGAAGUGUUGUGGAGGUUGAUGGCUGUUGUGGAGGUCAAUGGAAGUUUCUCUAUACAGCUUGCGUACCAAUAUUAUGCGAUGGUACACUAAAAAUUAGUGCGAUGGUAUCGGUCAUUUGAGGUUUCGAAUCAAAUGAUUCCAUAUAUUUUAUGCAGAAGAUUUGAAGGUUCUGAAUUAUGUUCUGAAUUAGAAAUGAUGUGUUGCUGAGCU